rnacentral:snoRNA from 1 species
AUUCCAUGUAUCAGACAUUUUCAAAUUAAUUCAGUAAAUCGUUCCCAAGCUUCAUAUAGCAUUUCGUCCUCCAUCUGCCAAAAAGAUGUGAUGUGAUUUCUAAGUUU